CGAUUACAAGUUUGCUCAGUCUUGGAGCACUUAAGGAAUAGAGAAGAAAUUGAGAAAGAUCCAACACAAUGCUUUUCAAAUACACCCUGAUAUUAGUUAUCUGCAUAAUCCUGAUUGACCCAUCUGAUGCAAAGAAGGAGAAGAAGAAGUCUAAGAAGAAGGAGAAGACGAAGACGAAGACAAAGGAAAAGCGCAGCGUAACGGAUGUCGAGCCGCCGAAACUAGGCUGUAAGGCUCAGUUCUCAGUAGUGUGUCCAGUUGACAUGACGGCGGCCGACGUAGCGAUAGCGGGUGGAACUGCCCGCACGGGGGCUGUAGUGGCUGCAUUUGCAGCUGCUGGAGUUGCUGUGCGAAAGAACGCGUGCAAAGUAGAGGAGAAAAACACUUGCAAACGUAUUCUUUUUACCAUGGUCACAAAAAAACUUGCGGCAAAAAUGAAGAACCAAACAACUUUUCUUUUUUAAGGUCAACAAUACUGGUUGAGAAGCAGUUUCCGACGGAAAGCAGUUUCCGACAAAUCGCUUUUUCGCUUACUUUUUUUAGAUCUUCAUAAAGAAGGUACUGCAAUUCAACUAUAUGGUAACUAGGCAAUCAAAAGUUGAAAUUCUUACCGAGACACGUAAGAAACUUUUAUUAUUAUUUAAUGUUUAAUGUUUAUUUUUCAUUUUUUACACAAACUUGCACGUGGGGGAUCGGCACGCGCAUCGUAUUGCGCAUGCGUGUAAACCUAAUUUGCAUAUCUAUGAAAAGCUACAAGGUUUUCCUAAAUUGACUUAUACAAUCGACGAUCAUUGUGUACAUAUUUGUGAACACUGAUGUCAUGCAUGUUUCGCACCCAUAUUCACUUAAAUGUAUACAAACACAAGUUUCUAUCAGAGAUGAAUCAAAAUAUCAUUGUUAUUCAGUGUCUGCCUAAUUUUGAGUAUGAAUUGAUUGUCGUAAAUUUUAAGGUUUAAAAUUUUCGUUAAUGCUGAAAAAUUAAUGAAUAUUUCUCUUAAUACAGUCUUAUAUUAAGUAUAUUAAAUAAACGAAUAAUAAAAACACAUAAUAGGCACCUUAAAUCUGCCCCGCACUCGAUUUGUCGGAAACUGCUUCUCAUCACAAACUAAUCUGAACAGUGUAAGUUCCCUCUUUGCGCCCCUAUUAGAUACACUAUAUGUGACGUCACACAUGUGAAAAAUAUAUCGAUAAUAGCAGCUUGAGCUGUAGUUAUCUAAAAUGUGAACCAAUUUUAUAGGUAUUUAAACACGUAUAAAUAAGUCAAUAAAAAUGUAUAAAAACUGUCGGAAACUGCUUCUCAGCCAGUAAUGAAAAUUUAGUGCCGUUUCCUGACGAUAUAAGCGAUUAUGACGUCAACGGGGACAAACGCGUGAACUACGAAGAGUUUGUGUUCGCAGUUACGAGGACGGUCAACCUGGCCGAGCCAACGGAGCUGCGCAGACCUUUCACGUUUGCUGAUGUCAAUGGUGACGGUGAAUUGGACACACAGGAGUUUAUUACUGCCCCGUUCUUGUUUGCGCAUGUCGAGCAUUCAAAAUCAACAAACACAAUGAGCACCAUCAUCCGAGAAUAGAGGAAUUUAGCCGACUUGGCAUAAUAUGUAUAUAAUAUAUGUAUAAUAUUUACGUUCAGAAAUGUAAUGUCUCCUAACAGUAAUUGUAUUUUCUAAAAUAAUCAUGACUUUCUAAUUGAUCGAUAUGCAAGUGACGUUUUAUGUAUUGUUUAUACGAUUCACAGCCUAAUGGUUAAGGCAUUUUCGCUUGAUUUAAUCGAAUAUAUGUAUGCUACACCGGCAAUUACUUUCAAUUAUUUACUUAAGCAAUUUUUAUCUUUGCAUUUAUUUAAUAAAGAAAACAAUGUAUUCCUUGCAAUAUUUUAAUGUCUAUUGAAUUUUGUAAAUGUGUAUUGUUCAUACUAUUUUUUGAAAACUUAAUACUAAAUCAACAAAUGUGUUUGAUAAGGAUUUAAGAGUUUUACUUAAAUUUCUUCCUUGUCCAUAAAUGGCUUUUUCUUACAUCGAUGAGAAUUUAAUAUCAUCUUCUUAUUUAUUCCUGAUUAUCAUGCCAUCUUUAUCGCAAUGUUUGUGUUGACCCACGUUGGCAACCGUUGUCCUCGAGAUGGGUCAUUGUUAGAGAUUGGUAUAUAAACCCCUUCUUUAACUCGUACAUAUAUAACAACACAUAUUACCAUAAUAUUCUGGAAUAGAUGUCCACGAUUUCGUCCCCUGGGUGGAGGCUUCAUCGGGGGAAGCCGUGGUCGAAAUAAAACUUAUUUUGAAAAAAUAUUUAAGGGGUUUAUUGACAACAUAUAUUUUAUGGAAACAAAUUAAAAACUGUAAAACUAAAUACUGUUUAAAAUAUUAUUAUUGCGUUAUCUAUCAUGCCAUCAUGCUAUA